CAGGUGGCUCAGGACGUGGUUACUCAGUCCUUUUGCUGCAGGUGCCUGGCCAAUAUUACUAGGGAUGAAAUUGCUUUUGGUGUACUCUGUCCUUUGCUCUGCAGGUGACUGAGGAAACAAAUUACCAAGUAAUUUUAGGUGCAUGUGAAAACGAAGCAACUCUGAAGUCAGUGUGCUGCCUUGCAAGUACAAAGAAUGAGCAAUAAUACUUUGUCUUCACCACCCUACUGCAGCAUGCAGUCCCAGGUAAUCAGAUAAAAGGGAUGGACCCCAUGUGGAUUCGGCACUGUGACUGCAGCCUGCCUGGAGGUAUCUUCUGCUCCUCACCAAGCCAGCAGUGCGUGUCUGACUGAAGAAAGAAGUCCUCAGAUUGUGUUGGCCCUUGGACUCCUGCUGACAAUCUCAGCUGGCUCCUGGCUUGCUUGCAGAUCUGGAGUCUUACAGUCAGUCUGGCCACAUGCAGAGGCUCCGUGCAUCCAGGAAGGAGAAGAUAUAUAAGGACAGCACUCUAGGAAGCUUCCUGGUAAAAUCUAGAGCUUCAAUGAGAAUAUGAUCCUGUAGCUGCUUGGCACAGAAUUUCUGCUGUGACAGGGAGCAGAGCUCCAACCGGUCCACCAGGAUCUUCUGCCUCUGACCAUCUCUCCACUUGGCUUCAUUCGUGAAAAGAGGGAGGGAGACACAGAUGUGUGUUUACAGGAUUGGGUCCUACGUUGACUGCUCUUUUCUUAGCUAUCCUCACCCUUUAUAAGGCACCCAAAACUGCGGUAUUGAGUGCCUCGCAGUUUGUGACCUAUUUAUUCCCACAGUCUCCACAAGAGAGAAAUCCCCACUGCCUUGCAAAGAAGCAAAGAGAGACUGUCUGUUGCCUGCAUCUCCCAAGGAAAAUGUGACACAGACGUGGCAGCACAGUAACAGAUUUUUCAUGGCAUUUCCCUGCUUAUGACGGAUAUCUACAGAGGAGGAGGAAAACAGUUGGACCUCACUGUGGGAAGAAAUGAGCACUUAACCACACAAGCACAUAUCGCUUGAUACAGCAACAACAACAGCACUGCACUGAGCAGAGUGGGACCAAGCUGUGUAAACAGGGUGGGAGCAACGGUAGCUGUACCUGGUGUUUAGCCUAUGUUGACAGCAUGGGAUGGAAAGGGCCCUGUCAGCAGGAAUCUCCUGGAGGAGACGUGGCAGAGGACCAUUUAGUCAGCACCAACAGGAAUCCCCAGUGGGAACAGUUGGGAGUGGAAUGGUACAGAGGAGGGUGGACUUCCAGAGUCAGAGUGCAAAUACCUAGCACAGCGAGAGCGGCUGUGACCCAAACCUUCCUUAAAAAGGGCAAGCUGAUUAAGAGCCGGGCCUGUCUAGGGAAUGCUGCCUCCCCCUGCUUCUUUCUUUCACACAUUAGCCAUACCUUUAACACACAUUCCUCUUUGUGUUUCUUGAAAUCAGCUUCAAACAGCUAACAACAUGCUCUCCAUGGGUCAAAUCACAGUACAGUUAUUUCUGCAUUUAACCCCAGGGGCAUUAGAACACUAUAUUUAAACAUGGUCUCUGCAAAUUUAAAAGAGCAGUAAGAAAAAAACCCAUGCAACACUCUCUAUAUGUUUGUAUGUAGAUGCGCAUAUAUAUAUAUGUUUAUGAAGAGCGGGGGUAGGGUCAAUGCCUUGUGUUUAAGAUAAAAAAGAGUAAUGCUCAGCACAGAGGUCCUGGGAGACGUUCCAAGAGGCAGCAGGCACAGAGAAGAAAAGUUAAGGACAGCUACAAGGAAGAAUCAUUGCGAUGAGCUGCUCUUCUUUUGUCCUAUGUGAUGUGCUGGGGACAGAGAAGCUGCUGGGCCUGCAGUUUCCCUCCUCUCCGAGCUGCUUCCCUGGGCCUUGGCUGUUCCCAGCAAGGAGCACCUUGCUUGCAGGAGCCUGUGAGCUUUGUGGAGGUGGCUGUGUAUUUCAGCAGGGAAAAGUGGUGUUCCACAGGAUAAGAUCGUGUAAACGAGUUCAACUCGUUACAGUCAAUGUUCCGGAUCUGUGGACCGCUGUUUCUGGGUGCUUCUUUCUUGGGGCGGCGAGGCUGCAUUCCCCAGAGGAGUUUGCACCCAGAGGAAGAGAGGUGGAGCUCCUGGCAGAGGAUCUCUCUUUGGUCGCUGUCGAGGAGCAUGCGGUCCCUUGCCGCUUUUCGCCUGCAGCUUUCGAGGAAGGGCCUCGGUUUGGGCACUGUCUCUCUCAUUUUGGUUGAUUUGUUGGCCUCAGUUCCAAUUGGACUGUGUCAUAUUGUGUUAUCUUGCAUUCUGAUAUCAUCCUUAGUAAAGGAAUGUUCCUUCUCAGAUCGCUGCCGCUGUUCUGUUUGUAGAUCCAUCUGCUAUCUCCCUACCCUUUCCCCUUCUCCCUUUCCCCCUUUCUCGGGGCGUGGGUCUGUGGGUCUCCUGCCUCACCAGUCACGGGGCUGGGCUGGGCUGGGCUGGCCUGUAAACUGUGGACGCUUUUUUUUUU